rnacentral:rRNA from 1 species
CCUACGGGAGGCAGCAGUGGGGAAUAUUGGGCAAUGGGCGAAAGCCUGAACCAGCAACGCCGCGUGAAGGAAGAAGGCUUUCGGGUUGUAAACUUCUUUUGACAGGGAAGAGCAGAAGACGGUACCUGUCGAAUAAGCCACGGCUAACUAAGUGCCAGCAGCCGCGGUAAUACGUAGGUGGCCAGCGUUGUCCGGAUUUACUGGGUGUAAAGGGCGUGUAGCCGGGCUGACAAGUCAGAUGUGAAAGCCGGGGGCUCAACCCACGAACUGCAUUUGAAAAUGGUGGUCUUGAGUAUCGGUGAGGUAGGCGGAAUUCGUGGUGUAGCGGUGAAAUGCUUAGAUAUUAGGAAGAACACCAGUGGCGAAGGCAGCCUGCUAGACGACAACUGACGGUGAGGCGCGAAAGCGUGGGGAUCAAACAGGAUUAGAUACCCGGGUAGUC